rnacentral:rRNA from 1 species
GAUGAACGCUGGCGGCGUGCCUAAUACAUGCAAGUCGAGCGAACAGACGAGGAGCUUGCUCCUCUGACGUUAGCGGCGGACGGGUGAGUAACACGUGGAUAACCUACCUAUAAGACUGGGAUAACUUCGGGAAACCGGAGCUAAUACCGGAUAAUAUAUUGAACCGCAUGGUUCAAUAGUGAAAGACGGUUUUGCUGUCACUUAUAGAUGGAUCCGCGCCGCAUUAGCUAGUUGGUAAGGUAACGGCUUACCAAGGCAACGAUGCGUAGCCGACCUGAGAGGGUGAUCGGCCACACUGGAACUGAGACACGGUCCAGACUCCUACGGGAGGCAGCAGUAGGGAAUCUUCCACAAUGGGCGAAAGCCUGACGGAGCAACGCCGCGUGAGUGAUGAAGGUCUUCGGAUCGUAAAACUCUGUUAUUAGGGAAGAACAAAAGUGUGAGUAACUAUGCACGUCUUGACGGUACCUAAUCAGAAAGCCACGGCUAACUACGUG